CCUACGGGGGGCAGCAGUGAGGAAUAUUGGUCAAUGGGCGAGAGCCUGAACCAGCCAAGUAGCGUGCAGGAAGACGGCCCUAUGGGUUGUAAACUGCUUUUAUGCGGGGAUAAAGUGAAGGACGUGUCUUUCAUUGCAGGUACCGCAUGAAUAAGGACCGGCUAAUUCCGUGCCAGCAGCCGCGGUAAUACGGAAGGUCCGGGCGUUAUCCGGAUUUAUUGGGUUUAAAGGGAGCGUAGGCCGUGGAUUAAGCGUGUUGUGAAAUGCAGGUGCUCAACGUCUGCACUGCAGCGCGAACUGGUCCACUUGAGUGUGCGCAACGCAGGCGGAAUUCGUCGUGUAGCGGUGAAAUGCUUAGAUAUGACGAAGAACUCCGAUUGCGAAGGCAGCUUGCGGGAGCACAACUGACGCUGAAGCUCGAAAGCGUGGGGAGCAAACAGGAUUAGAUACCCUAGUAGUC
rnacentral:rRNA from 1 species